UUUGAGCAGUUUACAGGUAGCGCAACCUGUCUCGUAGUGUUCGUUUUCAAUGGCUAUUAAACGCUGGAAAUCAAAAUGACAUCUUGUACUAAUGGAUGUCUUGAAUCGAAGAAGGUUCGGAAAUGAUAUUUUCACAUGCUUAAAAUAGGUUGGGAAGUUAUUUUUCAAGACCCCGAGGAAGUGUGAGGUGUAUGGAAUCAGCUGUGAAGGAUCUGGAAAGCAGGUGUUUUACCUCGCAGACGAAGGCCAGUCACAUGGUAAAGGUGCAAAUGCUGUGGUCAGCCAGGUUCACUACUACCUCAACACAUACGGUCUUGGCGAACAGCAUGCUCACUUUCAGUGUGACAACUGUUGCGGCUAAAAUAAAAACAACAUAGUCAUUGUAACAGCAGUCACAGUGCUAACCCUCCCCCAAGGCUGAGAGAGACCAGGUCGAGAGUAGCUUAUACUCCUUAAGUAAGAUGUGCAGUUUGUCAAAGUAACGAUGUAUAAACACUAUUGUUAUUGUCACUGUGUUGUUUUCAGGAUACCUAUGUUUUAAGAUAAUUAAUGUUAUCUUAAUAUGCCAUUUGUAUGUUAAUAUGUUGAUUGGAACCACCACACAGCAUACCGUUAUGUUUUAAAGAUGAAUAUGAGUUUGAUGUGUAUGUAUGGUUACCACGGUAACCAUCUAUAAUUUGUAACCUUAUUAUUAAAUAAGCGUAUUGAUAAUUUGAAUAUUUUCAGGACGGUCAGUUACAGAUCAUUUUUAACGCUCGUAUAUUUAUUAUAAAUCCACUCAAUAAACUUGUAACUGUCAGUGCCUUUGUUGGGAUUCUGCCCACAUUUUGGAGCUGCCAGUGUUACAUCAUCUGAUACCUUCUGUGGAGAGUUCUUGUAGGUAAUAACAAGCCCUUAGAUAUUGUGUUUCUGAUAGCUCUUUUUAAUGUUGAGAAACUAAUUUAGCUAAACCUGUUGUUAAAAAUAUUUGUUUGCAGUAAUGCAAUUGCAAAAGGGUAAAGCAUGUUGAUAUGUAGUAAAUAUGUUUAAAAAAAUUACUCUGGUAUCAAUCCCAAAAGGAAAAUUCUCUUAAAAUAAUAUAUUGAAAUGAGUCAACAUUUUUAAGUCAGUCAAUUACUACAAAAUACAUAUUCUAAAUUGUAGCCUGACCUUUUUUAAUAAUUAUUUUUUAACAUUUCAGGUUUACACAAAAUCAUCACACUAAGCUUUAUGUUGCUAAGACAUACAAAGUUAACACCAGACUGGCACUUUGGCAUCUGGAAGUCAAAGAAGAGAAACUUCAACGCAGAAAUAUUGUCUGAUGUCGCUGCUUCUGUGGGGUUAUCGUCAAGGACGGGCCACAACAUCCCCCAGCUUGUGGGGGACUCUUCCAAUCCUGUUGUUAUCUAAGACGGGAAGGAUUACCUUACGACAUUUUUUCACCACAUAAAAAAUGUCACCAAAUUUCAUCAAUUUCCAUGUGUCAGCGGAGCACACCGGUGUUGUGGAAUGCAGGGAAUUUAGUGACUCACCAGUAGUCAGAAUCACUCUCAGGAAGGUCUGGAAAGUGAAUGUUAAUGUGAGCUGUGACAACCUGCCAUAAGAAAUGUUUGCGAAAGGGCUUUAUCUGGACAAUCAGUGGUAUUUAUUUAAAACAUUCGUGAAUUCGGUCGCAUAGAUGAACCAAAAACUUGACAUGUCCGAAAAGCGCAACAAAAAAACAGACUGUGCCCCCCCCAAAAAAAAAAGAAGAUGCAUUAAGAUGCGCAUCUGAUCUUCUCUGAUGGUGCCACAACAAUUACAUACAUCAUGUAUCAAUGUUUAUUUUGGCCAAUGUAUUGGGUGAUAUAUUUUCCCCCAAACAAUGCAAAAAACCUCUAUUCCUAGGAAAGCUAAAACAUGUAUACGAUUGCUAAAUGUGUCAGUUGAUACAGGUUUUGAAAUGUUCAAUGCAAACGUUUGUUGUUCUAAUUGCACAAGCUUGUUUUCAAGUUUUCUAUAUCUCAUAUUUUCAAAACAAAAAUCAUUUUUUCCAUGUAACCAUGCAAUUGUUUUCACCUUAUGGACACAUACUGCCUUUCCGAAAAACUUGAAAAAAAUCAGUGUGAAUAUUGUAUUUAUUUAUGUUUUACAAUGAAAAUCCUAUAUUUUUGGUUUGUUUGCUGCAUUGUUUCCCUAGUAACAAAAAAAUAAUAUUUUUAAGUUAUUGUUUAUUUUGUUUAUUUUUCUCUAUCAGAAAUAAUGAUAAAUAAUGAUUAUUUCAUUUACUGAAACAUUUAGUAUCCAAGUGUACUUUCAACCAACUCUUGUCAAUGCUGUGUUUUUCCAUUCUGUUGUGUUUGAGGUUACAUUAUACAUAAAUACACAUGUAACUGACUAAAAAAAGGAAAUUGUUCAUGGAACACACGAAUUAUUGAUUGUUAUUGUUUAACUAGUUACAAAACAGUGAAAUUAAUGUUGUGUUUGCCUUUAAACAAACACUUGAUUGAAAAUACAAUUCAUAGAUUUAUAAAAGGCAUGAUUGUGUGCUCUGGUGAUUAUUAACAUGUAGAUCGGUUACCAUAGCAACACACAUGGUACAUUUUAAAUGUCCAUAAUGCUGUUGUCAGUUUAUUGCACUAUAAUUAUGUAUUUGACUAAAGGAAAGAUUAUUGUUUUAAUUAAACAAUGUGCUUGUUGUUUGAAUGUUUUCGUUGUUUUUUGUAUUAAAUGAUAACUUUGAGUGACGGUAAAAUGUAGGGUUGGUCACUUUGGAAGGUCAUAAAAUUAGUUUUGAAUGUGAUAAAUAAAAAUCUAUAUCAUUUUUGUGAACUACAAUGUUCAGAGAAUCCAAAAUUGCCAAAAGGCAAAAUGUGAUUUCUUGAACACAGGAUUGAUUUUCCCAGCUUUGGCCACAUAUAUUUGUACACUGAUGAAUAUACGCAUCGAGUUGUUUGUUCAUGCUUGCUUGUACAUGUAUCGCAAUAGUUAAAUCAUUCUGCCCAAGUGACGCAUUGAGUCGUUUUUUUUCAAAUCAAGUGCAACCUGAUCAGACAGCUCCUCAGGGGCUAUCUACUAAGGAUGGACUUAAUAUAUCAAUAUACAGCCCACAAAUAAACAGUUUUCUUUGUGUCAAUGCAACUAUAUAUAUAUAUAUAUAUAUAUAUAUAUAUAUAUAUAUAUAUAUAUAUAACGUGUCAAUGUCCAUAGCAAUCGGACUUUUUUUAUUUAAAAAAAGUUUUUUUUUCUAAUGACGAAAGUCUCAUAGAACACGGCGUUAAACGACCUUAUUGCCAAUGGGACUUGAUAAUUGGAUUUGUUUUCUUGAACAUUUUUUUAACUAGGAUUGUCCAGGGACAUAUAUAAUAUAAUUCUCAUUUAGCGUCCGUGGAUUAUCCGCUUAUCAUAUAAUUUUAACCACUAUAUCUUCAAUUCAACAUAAAACAAUGUAUGAAAAGGUUAUAAAAGAACACCUCGAAAUCAACCCCGUUAUAAAAGGCCAACGCUUCCUGCGUUAAUUUGAUUAUCCAUUAAAUCAGGAAGAUCUUAUCACGUUCUUACUCCAAGAUAUGUAACGUUACAUACGAAUGUUAAUCAUUCAAGAUAACGAGGCACUCGAAUAGUAUUUUCACACCUUCUCAUCAAUGUCGUAAAUAUAUAAGGCACUAUUAUUUAAUGUAGGGGCGAAUCGGUUAUCGCAGAUAGACGAUGUGAAAACCUGGUGGGGCGAACUGAAUUGUAGGCGGGGCGAGCCAGUAUAGGGCGAAUUAGUGAUGGGACGAAUCAAGGUGACCCGAGACGGCCAUACCCGACUGACUACGAGAUGAGAGGGGGCAGGCUGGCUAAGAUGAGUGACAUGCCCAACAACGUGCCUGCUGUGCAGUCCCAGGGCUCUUAUGGGGAACCCAUGGCAACCAAUAGAAACCCAGGUCCCACAGAAAUCUCUCUGCCAACACCACAGUCCCACCUUGGGUCGCUGACCUGGCAGGGUCACGGCGAUGAUCAGAUGUCUACCAUGAGUUCCCAUCUCCAUGGCAACCAGGGGUCAGAGUUCAAGAGUCACAAGGACGUGAACGAGGUGGAGAUUAUGUCCAGUGACUCCUCAAGUAGUUCCAGUAGUGACGAAUGAAGCGUUGAAAGUGGGUCAAGGUGUCAUGUUUGGGUGAUGUGUGAAUACUGAAUCUAGUCAGGUGCAGUAUUUGUAAAAUUAUGAAUUAAGGCAGGAUGACAGAAGUUGAACUGGGAACGAAUGCAGUUGGAAACAAGAUCAUAUGUGUCACAGGUGAAAUUGAAUGAUAUUUCAGAAUUAUGAUGAAUGCAGUCUGGAACUAGGUCAGAUGUACAAUUGAUGGAAUCGGAGUCUGUGUAAAAUGUGUGUCGAGUGAAAUCAGAAACUGUUUUAUAAUGAAAUGAAACAACUUAAGUUAUUGAGUGAAUUUGUUGGAAUGAAAUAGGUCCAAUUGGGUUUUAUUGUCCUGGACACAAUAUUAGAUGUCUGAUCAGUUAAACUCUGAUAUUGGGUUUUAUGCAUGACAAGUGAACCUAGGAAACCAUUUCAGAAAGGUAACCAUGGCAGGAUAAUAAGCCUCAAACGUGUGACUGGCUUGGUAAAAAGAGUGGUCCAUAGUGUACCAGUGUUGCAACCAAAAAGAUGAUGAUAAACGUUACAAUUUAAAGGUGUCAUUUUUCCACCUUACAGGCGAUGCCCUCCUUUAUAAAGUCAAGAGAGCUUUAAAAAUGGUUAUAAUCUUCUCAGGAUCUAUGAAAACUAAUAAGAGUUUUUGUAAAGACUCUGAGCUUCUUGCAAUGUGAUGUUUUCAAAUCACACCAUGAAGCAAUUGUGUUCCUCACUUAAGCAAGUGGUACAUAAAGCAUUUGUUGAAAAGUCUUGCUGAGUGUGAGCGUUUAUGUUUAUGCCUCUUCAACACUGUCUUGCAGUACAGAUAACACCAUUUAAAUACUGAAUAUUUAACAUUUUCAGUUUUUAACAUUUUAAUAUAACUAUUCUGGAUCUGUUUAAUCAAUUUUGCAAGGAAGAACAUCUUUUGUUGUUGAAUUUGUAUUAUUGUUUGAUACUUGUAAGUUAUAUUAAUGGAAUACAUUUUAAUAAAAAAAAUCACAAUA